UACGGAGGUGGCGAGCGUUGUCCGAAGUUACUGGGCGUAAAGCGCGCGUAGGCGGGCUAUUAAGUGAGGGGUGAAAGGCUGAGGCUCAACCUCAUGUUGGUCCUCUCAUACUGAUAGUCUUGAGUGAGGCAGGGAGAAGUGGAAUGGCUGGUGUAGCGGUGAAAUGCGUAGAUAUCAGUCGGAACACCGGUGGCGAAGGCGGCUUCUGGACUGCAACUGACACUGAGGAACGAAAGCCAGGGGAGCAAACGGG
rnacentral:rRNA from 1 species